AUGUUUGCUUCCGCGCGGCGUGGUUCUCAGUUUUGGAAAGCCCUUGUUAAAGUUAGGCCGAUUUUUUUGGAGCACGUCAAGUUUUCGGUGGGUAAUGGGUCUGCUGUCCGUUUUUGGUUGGACUGGUGGUCUGGGGAUGCCCCCCUUGCCGUGAGCUUUCCGAUUUUGUUUUCUUACUGUCCCAAUCCGCAGAUCUCCAUCGCGGAGGUGGCUGCUAAUAAUUGGGAUUUGGCUUUCCGUCGGGCUCUGUCUCCUGAAGAGUUGGAAGAUUGGCAAAGUCUCUCUGCCCUUUUCCCUGUGCUCUCGGAGUCGGCCGACUCGGUGAUUUGGCCUCAUUCGGCCUCUGGUAAAUUUUCGGUUAAGUCGUUGUAUUCUAGACUCAUUGGUGGUACCCCUUCGGCUAGAUUCUCUUGUGUUUGGAAAUCCAAGGUACCCCCUAAGAUUAAAAUUUUUCUCUGGCAAGCCUUCCGUGGUCGCCUCCCUACUGCUGAUCAGAUCAAAAAACGCAAUGGGCCGGGCUCGGAAUUCUGUAACUUGUGUGGGGCCUUGGAAAACUCAGAUCACAUCUUUUUCAACUGUGUACUUGCCAAAUUAGUUUGGUCCUGCGUCAGAUCUUGGCUUCGGGUUUCCUGGAAUCCCUCCUCUUUCUCUGAUGUUAGAACCCUAGCCAAAACCUUGGUCGGGGUCACCAAGAGGGUAUUUUGGGUUGGCUUGGGAGCCUUAUGUUGGGCUCUAUGGACCAUUAGAAAUAAAUUUACUAUUGAGCUUACCUUCCCAUCUAAGCCUGCUGAUGUUCUUUUCAAAACAUGUAUAUUCUUGCAGCAGCGGAGAUCAUUGACUAAGGAGCCUGAUCGGGACGCCCUGGACCUGCUCAUCGACAAAAUUCGGGCUUCGGCUUCUCAGAUCUCCGGGACGAAUCCUGUCGUAUAA
rnacentral:rRNA from 1 species